rnacentral:rRNA from 1 species
UGAGGAAUCUUGCGCAAUGGGGGAAACCCUGACGCAGCAACGCCGCGUGAGUGAGGAAGGUCUUCGGGUCGUAAAGCUCUGUCAGGCGGGAAGAAAUGGAUGGAGGUGAACAGCCGCCAUGCUUGACGGUACCGCCAGAGGAAGCACCGGCUAACUCCGUGCCAGCAGCCGCGGUAAUACGGGGGGUGCAAGCGUUGUUCGGAAUCAUUGGGCGUAGAGAGCGUGUAGGCGGCUUGGUAAGUCAGAUGUGAAAGCCCUGGGCUCAACACGGGAAGUGCAUUUGGAACUGCCAGGCUCGAGUAGGGGAGAGGGAAGUGGAAUUCAUGGUGUAGAGGUGAAAUUCGUAGAUAUCAGGAGGAACACCGGUGGCAAGGCGACUUCCUGGCCCUAUACUGACGCUGAGACGCGAGAGCGUGGG